rnacentral:rRNA from 1 species
UACGUAGGGCGCAAGCGUUGUCCGGAAUUAUUGGGCGUAAAGGGCUCGUAGGCGGUUUGUCGCGUCGGGAGUGAAAUCAUCUGGCUUAACUGGGUGCUUGCUUUCGAUACGGGCAGACUAGAGUGAUGUAGGGGAGACUGGAAUUCCUGGUGUAGCGGUGAAAUGCGCAGAUAUCAGGAGGAACACCGAUGGCGAAGGCAGGUCUCUGGGCAUUAACUGACGCUGAGGAGCGAAAGCAUGGGGAGCGAACAGG